rnacentral:rRNA from 1 species
AGAGUUUGAUCCUGGCUCAGAUUGAACGCUGGCGGCAUGCCUUACACAUGCAAGUCGAACGGCAGCACGGGAGCAAUCCUGGUGGCGAGUGGCGAACGGGUGAGUAAUACAUCGGAACGUGCCCAAUCGUGGGGGAUAACGCAGCGAAAGCUGUGCUAAUACCGCAUACGAUCUACGGAUGAAAGCAGGGGACCGCAAGGCCUUGCGCGAAUGGAGCGGCCGAUGGCAGAUUAGGUAGUUGGUGGGGUAAAGGCUCACCAAGCCAACGAUCUGUAGCUGGUCUGAGAGGACGACCAGCCACACUGGGACUGAGACACGGCCCAGACUCCUACGGGAGGCAGCAGUGGGGAAUUUUGGACAAUGGGCGCAAGCCUGAUCCAGCCAUGCCGCGUGCAGGAUGAAGGCCUUCGGGUUGUAAACUGCUUUUGUACGGAACGAAACGGUUCUUUCUAAUAAAGAGGGCUAAUGACGGUACCGUAAGAAUAAGCACCGGCUAACUACGUGCCAGCAGCCGCGGUAAUACGUAGGGUGCAAGCGUUAAUCGGAAUUACUGGGCGUAAAGCGUGCGCAGGCGGUGAUGUAAGACAGUUGUGAAAUCCCCGGGCUCAACCUGGGAACUGCAUCUGUGACUGCAUCGCUGGAGUGCGGCAGAGGGGGAUGGAAUUCCGCGUGUAGCAGUGAAAUGCGUAGAUAUGCG